rnacentral:rRNA from 1 species
CCUACGGGUGGCUGCAGUGGGGAAUAUUGCACAAUGGGCGCAAGCCUGAUGCAGCCAUGCCGCGUGUGUGAAGAAGGCCUUCGGGUUGUAAAGCACUUUCAGCGGGGAGGAAGGCGUUAAGGUUAAUAACCUUGUCGAUUGACGUUACCCGCAGAAGAAGCACCGGCUAACUCCGUGCCAGCAGCCGCGGUAAUACGGAGGGUGCAAGCGUUAAUCGGAAUUACUGGGCGUAAAGCGCACGCAGGCGGUCUGUCAAGUCGGAUGUGAAAUCCCCGGGCUCAACCUGGGAACUGCAUUCGAAACUGGCAGGCUAGAGUCUUGUAGAGGGGGGUAGAAUUCCAGGUGUAGCGGUGAAAUGGGUAGAGAUCUGGAGGAAUACCGGUGGCGAAGGCGGCCCCCUGGACAAAGACUGACGCUCAGGUGCGAAAGCGUGGGGAGCAAACAGGAUUAGAUACCCGUGUAGUC